AGUCAGGUGGGAUUACGCCCUCAAAUU
rnacentral:rRNA from 1 species